rnacentral:misc_RNA from 1 species
AAGUCGUAACAAGGUUUCCGUAGGUGAACCUGCGGAAGGAUCAUUAACACGUAUCCAACGUUAAAACCCCCCCGUGAACCUUCAGUGUGCUCGUACGCUUUGUUAGAAAGUAGCAAUCCCUGGUAAAUCAUCGCCGAACAGUUUUGAUCAGGCAAGUGGCCUGGCAUCCUUGUCUGAGGGUGGCAGUCACGAUCGCUAGAGGCCAACACGUCACCGGGCUCACGCCCCUUAAUAACCUUUGCAUGAAAACGGGCCUGCGCUUAAUUGUGCGGCCAUAAACCGAACAACUGUUAACAAUGGAUAUCUUGGUUCUC